ensembl:lncRNA
GCUGUUUGUCUCUGUCUGGUGAGAGUUUGGGUAUUUGACCUUUGGAUUUUCAAAGUAAACUUUAAAGUGCUUCUCUUACAGCAUCAGAGCACCAGUGUCGGGCUAGCAAACGUGUCAACCCUCCUGAUAACUGCACCCUACUAGCCACCCAAACCGCAGCAGCCCCUAGCCUAUCAAUCACCACGGGCCAGCACAGAGAAGCUGCCUCCCCUGCCACUGGAUGAUGGAGGAGGGGGGAACUGGAGCUCCAUGCAUAUCAGCCGCUGCAUUUGUAGCCCUCCAGGAGAAGAGCAGGUGAAGGGCUGAGAGAAAGAUAUUAAGCUCGCAGCAAGACAGACGAAAGGAGGAUUACACUUUAUUGAGGGAAAGCUGGGAAAAUUACUCAGCGGAAAAGAAAACUGCUGGCAUGCCAUCAAAAACUCAUCCAGAAGAAUUACCAUAUGACUCUUUACCACUGACUGCCAAGAGAGGAAAAAAGGCUUGACUGUAAAACCGUAGGAGUGUUUUGCGUGUCUAAAGGCACAUGCUACAACUGCGCAGCUACAUCAAACAC